CCUACGUGAGGCAGCAGUGAGGAAUAUUGGUCAAUGGGCGGAAGCCUGAACCAGCCAAGUAGCGUGCGGGAUGAAGGCCCUACGGGUCGUAAACCGCUUUUGCACGGGGAUAACACCCUCCACUUGUGGAGGUCUGCAGGUACCGUGCGAAUAAGGCCCGGCUAAGUCCGUGCCAGCAGCCGCGGUAAUACGGGGGGUGCGAGCGUUAUCCGGAUUUAUUGGGUUUAAGGGGUGCGUGGGCGGACAGUCAAGUCAGCGGUAAAAAUGCGGUGCUCAACGCCGUACCGCCGUUGAAACUGGCAGGCUUGAGUGGGCGAGAAGUAUGCGGAAUGCGUGGUGUAGCGGUGAAAUGCAUAGAUAUCACGCAGAACUCCGAUUGCGAAGGCAGCAUACCGGCGCCCGACUGACGCUGAGGCACGAAAGCGUGGGUAUCGAACAGGAUUAGAUACCCGUGUAGUC
rnacentral:rRNA from 1 species